CAGAAUUUGGUGGGGAUUACAAUUUGAGAUGAGAUUUCGGUGGGAACACAGAGCCAAACCACAUCAACCAGUAAAUCUUGGGCUGAUUUGUUACACAGCGAUAGAUAACUUACUACGUCAGGAUCAUGGUUACUGGAAGACUGGUUUAUGUCCUGCUGGUCCUCCCCACCUUGCCUUGCUUGCUCUAUGGAAGGGGCUUCCAUUAUGGGAACUGCCUGGGGAGAGGCUCAUGGGGCAAGGAACUGAUGCCUCCAGCCAACAGCCAGCAAGGACCUGAGGGCUGCCCACUGCCAUGAGUGAGUCUGGAGGCAGAUUUUCCACCCUGAGAUGCCUGCAGCUCCAGCCAGCCCCUUGACUCUAGCCUUGAGGAACCUACAGCCAAAGCCACCCAGUUACCCUCACCCAGAUUCCUGACUGCUGGAAAUUGUGACAUCGUAAAUGUUUCUUGUUUUAAGCCAAUACAUGUUGGUGUAAUUUU
ensembl:lncRNA PPP5D1P PPP5 tetratricopeptide repeat domain containing 1, pseudogene